AGCGAACGUUUGCGGCGGGCCUAACACAUGCAAGUCGAACGGGCAGGGGCAACCCUGUCAGUGGCGCACGGGUGCGUAACACGUGGGUAAUCAACCCUUUGGACUGGGACAACCCGGGGAAACUCGGGCUAAUACCGGAUGUGGCGUGGCGGUCCUCGGACUGCUCCGCGAAAGCUCCGCAAGGGGCACCAGAGGACGAGCCCGCGUCCCAUCAGCUAGUUGGUGAGGUAAUGGCUCACCAAGGCGAAGACGGGUAGCUGGUCUGAGAGGAUGAUCAGCCACACUGGAACUGAGACACGGUCCAGACUCCUACGGGAGGCAGCAGUGGGGAAUAUUGCGCAAUGGGCGAAAGCCUGACGCAGCCACGCCGCGUGUGCGAUGAAGGUCUUCGGAUCGUAAAGCACUGUGGGGGAGAAGAAACAAGCCGGUGAAGAGCCGGCCCUGACGGUAUCCCCUUAGCAAGCACCGGCUAACUCCGUGCCAGCAGCCGCGGUAAAGUGUG
rnacentral:rRNA from 1 species